AAAUUGAAGAGUUUGAUCAUGGCUCAGAUUGAACGCUGGCGGCAGGCCUAACACAUGCAAGUCGAACGGUAACAGGAAGAAGCUUGCUUCUUUGCUGACGAGUGGCGGACGGGUGAGUAAUGUCUGGGAAACUGCCUGAUGGAGGGGGAUAACUACUGGAAACGGUAGCUAAUACCGCAUAACGUCGCAAGACCAAAGAGGGGGACCUUCGGGCCUCUUGCCAUCGGAUGUGCCCAGAUGGGAUUAGCUAGUAGGUGGGGUAACGGCUCACCUAGGCGACGAUCCCUAGCUGGUCUGAGAGGAUGACCAGCCACACUGGAACUGAGACACGGUCCAGACUCCUACGGGAGGCAGCAGUGGGGAAUA
rnacentral:rRNA from 1 species